rnacentral:lncRNA from 1 species
UAUAUGGGAUUUGCUCGCCUCAUGACUAAGAGCUUUACUUCUGAGUUUCCCCAUGUUGAGAGAUACUUCUGGACUAUGGUUAAUCAACCAAAUUUCAAAAAGAUAUUGGGUGAUGUCCAGCAGACUGAAUCAGUUCUUCCUGUCCUGUCAAAGAAGCCUGCCCCUUCCAAAGAAUCUGCUAAACCAAAACCAAAGGAGGAACCAAAGAAAGAAGCUAAAAAGGAGAAAGAGCCAGCAAAGCCAAAAGAAGCUGCUGUGGAAGAGGAAGAGGCUCCAAAGCCC